GAUGAACGCUGGCGGCGUGCUUAACACAUGCAAGUCGAACGGGAUCCAAGGGGUGCUUGCACUUUUUGGUGAGAGUGGCGAACGGGUGAGUAACACGUGAGUAACCUGUCCUUCUCUUUGGGAUAAGCAUUCGAAAGGGUGUUUAAUACCUUAUGUUCUGUCUGCCUCGCAUGGGGUGGGUGGGAAAGGCUUUGGCCGGAUUUGGGUGGGCUCGCGGUCUAUCAGCUUGUUGGUGGGGUGAUGGCUUACCAAGGCUUUGACGGGUAGCCGGCCUGAGAGGGUGGUCGGUCACAUGGGGACUGAGAUACGGCCCAGACUCCUGCGGGAGGCAGCAGUGGGGGAUAUUGCACAAUGGGCGAAAGCCUGAUGCAGCGACGCCGCGUGGGGGAUGAAGGCCUUCGGGUUGUAAACUUCUUUUGCUCUGAACAAGGCAUGCCAGUGGGUGUGUUGAGUGUAGGGGUUGAUUAGCGCCGGCUAACUACGUG
rnacentral:rRNA from 1 species